UCCCACAAGAAAUGGAGGGAGGUGCUGU
rnacentral:piRNA from 1 species